rnacentral:tRNA from 1 species
UCCCUGGUGGCUCAGACGGUAAAGCAUCUGCCUGCAAUGCAGGAGACCCGGGUUUGAUCCCUGGUUGGGGAA